AGGAGGAUCAGCCCCAGUGGCGGGGCAGCUCUGGAAACCUGGAUUCAGCUCCGGCAGGAACUCAGUCUGCAGGGCCUGGAGGCUCCGGGGCGGG
rnacentral:pre_miRNA from 1 species